rnacentral:rRNA from 1 species
AUUGAACGCUGGCGGCAGGCCUAACACAUGCAAGUCGAACGAGUGGCGGACGGGUGAGUAAUGUCUGGGAAACUGCCUGAUGGAGGGGGAUAACUACUGGAAACGGUAGCUAAUACCGCAUACCAUCGGAUGUGCCCAGAUGGGAUUAGCUAGUAGGUGGGGUAACGGCUCACCUAGGCGACGAUCCCUAGCUGGUCUGAGAGGAUGACAGGCCACACUGGAACUACGAAACGUUCCAGACGCCUACGGGAGGCAGCAGUGGGGAAUAUUGCACAAUGGGCGCAAGCCGGAUGCAGCCAUGCCGCGUGUAGGAAGAAGUCCUUCGGGUUGUAAAGUACGUGCAGCGGGGAGGCGUUACCCGCAGAAGAAGCACCGGCUAACUCCGUGCCAGCAGCCGCGGUAAUUC